rnacentral:rRNA from 1 species
AUGGAUGCAACCGUGCGCGCGCAGGAAGAAGGCGACACAAGUCGAAGUCUAUAUAAGCAUAUGCUUCCAUUCAUCUUCUCCACACUCUCUUCUUGCUUGCUUCUGCUGCGCUGUGCACCGAUCGCUCUCAACACCAGCCAACCUAUAGGCAUGGCGUCCUACGGGAGCGCUUCUUGGGUUACGCUUGCGCUGCUCCUCUUCAUCACUCUGGCUGCCACCGCCAAUGGCGACGAGCUCUCCGCGAGUUACUAUGAGAAGACGUGCCCCAACGUGCAGCACGUCGUGCGGUCAGUGAUGGCGAGCAGCGUCGCCGCCCAGCCAAGGAUGGCGCCCGCCGUCCUCCGCCUCUUCUUCCACGACUGCUUCAUCAACGGAUGUGAUGCUUCUGUUCUCCUGGACGCAACUCCCUUCUCCCCCAGCGAGAAGGAUGUGAAGCCGAACGCCUCCCUCACCGGCUAUACCGUCAUCGACGACAUCAAGUCCGCGCUCGAGCACGACUGCCCGGCAACCGUCUCCUGCGCUGAUGUUAUCGCCCUGGCGUCCCGCGACGCCGUCGCCCUGCUCGGAGGUCCCACCUGGAGUGUGCCCCUCAGCCGCAAAGACUCACGCUUCGCCGCCAACCCGGAGUCCACCAAGAAGGGCCUCCCGAGCCCGCACGACAACCUCGGCGAGCUCGUCGCCAUGUUUUCAAGGCUCAACCUCGACGCGCGUGACAUGACCGCGCUCUCCGGUGCCGACACCGUCGGGAUGGCCGACUGCAUGCACUACAGCGACCGCGUCUACGGCGCCGACCGCGAUGAGGAGAUCGACCCAUACUUUGCACAGACCAUGAAGCAGUCGUGCCAGGGUCCUUCUGAGGCUGAGAAUAUGUGCUACACACUACGCACUUUUGAGCCAAGUUUUACUACAGGACAUGGGGCCCAGCUUAGAGGCAAGCCAGCCUCUAAGCACUGUGGAUGCCCUUACUACCGCAACCUUAUCGCGCGGCGCGGUCUCCUCACCUCCUACCAGACUCUCUACGGUGGUGGAGGUCCGCAGGACAAUCUCGUGGAGAUGUACAGCGCCGACGGUGAGGCGUUCGCGAGGGACUUUGCCAAGACCAUGGUGAAGAUGGGAAACGUGCCUCCGCCCAUGGGAAUGCCCGUGGAGGUGAGGCUCAAGUGCUCCACGGCCAACUAUUGA